rnacentral:rRNA from 1 species
UAGCUAGUUGGUGGGGUAAAGGCCUACCAAGGCGACGAUCUGUAGCGGGUCUGAGAGGAUGAUCCGCCACACUGGGACUGAGACACGGCCCAGACUCCUACGGGAGGCAGCAGUGGGGAAUAUUGGACAAUGGGCGAAAGCCUGAUCCAGCCAUGCCGCGUGUGUGAAGAAGGCCUUUUGGUUGUAAAGCACUUUAAGCGAGGAGGAGGCUACUUGGAUUAAUACUCUAGGAUAGUGGACGUUACUCGCAGAAUAAGCACCGGCUAACUCUGUGCCAGCAGCCGCGGUAAUACAGAGGGUGCGAGCGUUAAUCGGAUUUACUGGGCGUAAAGCGUGCGUAGGCGGCUUUUUAAGUCGGAUGUGAAAUCCCUGAGCUUAACUUAGGAAUUGCAUUCGAUACUGGGAAGCUAGAGUAUGGGAGAGGAUGGUAGAAUUCCAGGUGUAGCGGUGAAAUGCGUAGAGAUCUGGAGGAAUACCGAUGGCGAAGGCAGCCAUCUGGCCUAAUACUGACGCUGAGGUACGAAAGCAUGGGGAGCAAACAGGAUUAGAUACCCUGGUAGUCCAUGCCGUAAACGAUGUCUACUAGCCGUUGGGGCCUUUGAGGCUUUAGUGGCGCAGCUAACGCGAUAA